UUUGACCCAGGCGGGGCGCGAUCCGCCUAGGAUUUGGGGUCCCCUGGCGCCGAACCCUGAGUUGCCAGAUGUAGCAAGAUUUCCCUCAUCUACCUUUCUUUGGGAGAUACGACUGAAACCAACAAAAGCCAAGUUUGGUAAAUAAGAAGUUUAAACAAGUGCUUCUCUGUACAGCUCAUCCACUUCCUCAUCUGUAAACCGAUCCCCCAUGGUUGUCAGCAGCUCUCUCAAGUAAUCUUCCUGUAUGGUGCCUGGAGAAUAAAGAACAAGGGAUCAGAAUACAUACUAUUCUGAGGGUUAAUUACAAAGAAUAUCUAUACUUGACUAAGCAUGUUCUGUAUGUUACAAACUAUAAACAUGCAAAUAUAUGAACUACAGGGUGUCCACCUACUUAAAACAGCCUCAGCAGAGAAGUGCCUAGAAAAAUGCCUAGCUGCUUAGCAGCACUGCUCCGCUCUAUCAUUUGCUCUAUCAUUCUGCCUCCACAUUCAGCUUCUGAUCUCUUGAUAAGAGAGACUAAACCUAUGCCUAAACAAAGUAAUAAAAAGUAUGGUUAAAGA
rnacentral:lncRNA from 1 species